rnacentral:rRNA from 1 species
AUUGAACGCUGGCGGCAGGCCUAACACAUUCAAGUCGAGCGGAGCGGCGGACGGGUGCGUAAUGCCUAUGAAUCUGCCUGGUAGUGGGGGAUAACUUCCGGAAACGGGCGCUAAUACCUCAUACUCGCAGAUGCGCCUAGGUCGGAGUGGCUAGUUGGUGUGGUAAUGGCCUACCAAGGCGGCGAUCCGUAACUGGUCUGAGAGGCUGAUCAGUCACACUGGAACUGAGACACGGUCCAGACUCCUACGGGAGGCAGCAGUGGGGAAUAUGGGACAAUGGGCGAAAGACUGAUCCAGCCAUGCCGCGUGUGUGAAGAAGGUCUUCGGAUUGUAAAGCACUUUAAGUUGGGAGGCGUUACCAACAGAAUAAGCCCCGGCUAACUUUGUGCCAGCAGCCGCGGUAAUAC